AUGCUCAGCUCAGGCAACGCGCGCGUGCACUGCAGGCCUAGCUCGGAGUCUCCCUCCGGAGGGAGGCCUCUUCCUUCCGGUGACACCGGAAGCAGAUUCUCUCGCGCAUUGGCUCCGCCCCCCCCUCCCCCCGCCUCCGGCUCGCGGCGCUGCCGCAGCUCUGCUAAAGGAGCCUCCAGGGUCUUCUGCUUCCGGGUGCUUAGUGCCCUCCUCGCGCGGGGAGACUUCCGGCUUCUGGCUGCGAGAUUAUGCGGAUGAACUGAUACGCUGCUGCCAGGGCACAUCACUUUUCAGAGUGAGAGUAGCAGGACCUUGAAAACUAGCAAAUGGCUUGAGUACGGAGUACAGUAAGUCCUACACAUGUAUUUUUGUGGUUUUUUUCUUAUUUUUAUUUUUUUAUUUUUGGUGACAGUAGCUCGUGUCUUAGGUGUAACAUUGGAAAAUUUAUGGUAUGCUUCAGAGGCCUUGCCCAGCGUACCCUAAAUUCGGAGCACCCUCUGUCCUCCAAAGUGUCACUUUUUUUUUUUUUUAAGAUUUUAUUUAUUUUUUCAUGAGAAACACACACAGAGAGAGAGAGAGAGAGAGAGAGAGGGGGGCAGAGACACAGGCGGAGGGAGGAGCAGGCUUCAUGCAGGGAGCCUGACGUGGGACUCGAUCCUGAGUCUCUAGGGUCACACCCUGGGUCAAAGGCAGAUGCUAAACCGCUGAGCCACCCGGGCUGCCCUUGAAUACUUUUUAAAAAAAGUAGCAAAAUGAGCAGCUACUUUGUUAUAUAUAUUAUAUAUUAUAUAUUGCAUAUACAUGGUUAUAAUUAAUGUAAUCAAAAUAUUCUUCAGCGUACAAAAAAAAGGUCAUGUAGAAAGAAUAAGAAAGAUACUGAUUUUAGGGCUAGAAGAUGAGGGGACGCUUCUGUGCCCUUCUGCACAGUUACUUCCGCACAUUUUCAGGACCGUAAUGGUAAAAGCACAGGUAUGAUACCCCCUUAUCCAAGUAACCUCCAACCGCAGGUGUCCAGUGAGAACCGGGAUAUUGGAUGGAAAGCAGAAUUAUUGUCUGGUAAUAUUCCCCUCCUGUUAGCUAGCAAGUCCCAAAAUGUGGACAGUCUAAAGGGGGGGGGGGGUUGCUUGGAAGACUGCAAGCCUGCAAGUAACAAACAGCCACGGGAAAUGUCAGGAAGAGCAGCCUGGGAGGGUAGAUGAUUGGCUGUGAGCGCGUCUCAGGUGUGCCUGAUGGAUCCAGCUUUGACCAUGGGGAAGAGGACCUGUUUUCAUGGAGACUCUUGCUCCUGUGGCCUCAUGAUGAGCUUGUUAAUCAAAGCUGCUUGUUAAGUCCUUUAGUUCCUUCAGCCAGGAGCCCUUUGCCUGGAAGUAGCUGAGCUGCUGAUCCUGCACCUGGGAGCAAGGUGGUUUUUAUUCCAAUUGGUUAUUUUACGCUUUCUUUAUUAAAACAUCGAUUUUUUUUCCUCGAACGUUAAAACAUUAUUUUCGCGCUUAGACGUAAAUUGUUCAUGCUGUGUCAUCUUUUCAGUAUAUUGCUGGAUUUGAUUUGCUAAAAUUUUGUGUAAGGUUUUGCUUUUACUCUUUUUUUUUUUUUUAAAGAUUAUUUAUUUGAGACAGAAUGAGAGAGAGGCAGAGACACAGGCAGAGGGAGAAGCAGGCUCCAUGCAGGGAGCCCGACAUGGGACUGGAUCCCGGGUCUCCAGGAUCAGGCCCUGGGCUGAAGGCAGACGCUGAACCGCGGAGCCACCCCGGGAUCCCCACGUUUUUGCUUUUAUGUAAAUGUGAGAGAUGGCCCUCUAAUUUUCCUUUAUUGUAACAUCCUUGGCAAGUUUUGGUGUCCGUGUUAAGCUUUCCUCGUGAAAUGAGUUGGAAGGUAUUCUUUAAUGCUCUACGGAAUUUGUUAGAAUUUAUUUCUUAAAUAUUUGAUGGUAGUGGCUGGUGAGUUCUUCUGGAUCUAGGAUUUUCAUUGAAGGAGGGCCUUUAAUUAUGGAUUUAUUCCUUUAAUAGAUAAGGAACUAUUUGUAGUUCGUAUUUGGUUUUAGAAAGUUGAGCUUCCCUUAGGGUCCAUUUCAUCUAAAAUUUUAAAUUAAUUAGCCCAAACUUAUUCAUAGUAAGCUGUUACUCCUGUUACAAUUUUUCUAAUGUAGGACCUGUAAUGAGGUCUCCUUUUUAAUUUCUAAUUCUUGUUUGUGUUUCUCUCUCUCUCUCUCUCUCUCUCACACACACACACACACACACACACACCCUGUACUCUUCCUCUGGGCUCAUCUACAGUUGUGGGGGGCAAAUCUAGCCUUGUGCCUGUUUUUGUUCAUAAAGUUUUAUUGUGACACAACCACACCAAUUCAUAUAUUAUCUUUGGCUGCUUUCACACCACAACGCCAGAUAAAAAGUUGAGCAAAGAUCAUAAGACUUGCAAAGACUAAGAAAAGAAUCAUCUGGCUCUUCACAGAAAAGGUUUUCUUACUCCUGAGCUACGCUAUUAGUUUAGUGAAAGAAAGUUUGUCUUUGUUUCUCCUUUGUGUGGAUGUUUAUUUCAAUAAUUUAUUUUCUUUUAUUAUUCAUUUGCUUUUUUAAAAUAUAUAUAUAUAUAUAAUUUCCUGAGUGUUUGCUCACAUAAAUUGUCGGUCUUUCUUUACUAUUAAAGGACAAAUUUCCCUCUACACAAGCUUUAACUGCAGUUCAGAAACUUUGAUAUGUUUCCAAUACCAUUUAGUUCAAAAUAUUUUCUAAUUUCUAUUGUAAUUUCUUAUUUGAUCAAUGGGUUAUUUAGAAUUGGAUUUCCUAAUUUCCAAACAUAUUUUCCAGUUAUUUUUGUUAAUCAUAUCUAGAUUAAUUUCCCAGUGGUCUGGCAACGUAGUUUGUAUAGUUUUAUUUCUUUGAAAUUUUGAGAUCCUUUCUAUGGCCUAGCAUAUCAUUAGUUUUGGUAAAUAAUAUGUGUAUACUUGAAAAAAAUGUUCAUUCUGUCAAUUGGGCCAAAUCUUGUAAUCCUUUUGUUUAUAUCUCUAUUCUUACUGAUUUAUUGUCUGCUUGUUCUUCAGUUAUUGGGAGAGGUGUGUUGCAGUCUCAUUAUGACUGAAUUUUUUUAAAAGAUUAUUUUUUAGUAAUCUCUACAUCCACUUUGGUGCUUGAACUCACAACCCUGAGAUCAAGAGUCACAUGCUCUACUGACUGAGCCAGCCAGUCACCUCUAUAACUAUGAGGUUUUUUUACAUGUCCUUUUACUUCUGUCUUUAUUGCUUUACAUAUAAUUUGCAUACAAAUGUAGAUUAGGUACAUACAGUUUUAGGAUUGUAUAUAUUGUUUCUAAGAUUCCCAGUGAAUCUUAGAAACAUCCUUGUUGGGAUGCCUGGGUAGCUCAGUGGUUGAGUGUCUGUCUUCAGCUCAGGGCGUGAUCCUGGAUUGGAGGAUCAAGUCCCGCAUCGGGCUCCCUGCAUGGAGCCUGCUUCUCCCUCUGCCUAGGUCUAUGCCUCUCUCUCUGUGUCUCUCAUGAAUAAAUAAAAUCUUAAGAAAAAAAAAAAAAAGGAA
rnacentral:lncRNA from 12 species